rnacentral:rRNA from 1 species
GACGAACGCUGGCGGCGUGCUUAACACAUGCAAGUCGAACGGGUCUGCCCUGUUUUUUGCGGGGUGGGUCAGUGGCGAACGGGUGAGUAACACGUGAGUAACCUGCCCCUCACUUCUGGAUAACCGCUUGAAAGGGUGGCUAAUACGGGGUGUUCUGGCUGUGCCGCAUGGUGUGGCUGGGAAAGAUUCACUUUUGUGGUGUUUUGGUGGGGGAUGGGCUCGCGGCCUAUCAGCUUGUUGGUGGGGUGAUGGCCUGCCAAGGCUUUGACGGGUAGCCGGCCUGAGAGGGUGGGCGGUCACACUGGGACUGAGAUACGGCCCAGACUCCUGCGGGAGGCAGCAGUGGGGGGUAUUGCACAAUGGGCGGAAGCCUGAUGCAGCGACGUCGCGUGAGGGAUGGAGGCCUUCGGGUUGUGAACUUCCUUCGCCGGUGAAGAAGGUCCUGCUCUUUGUGGUGGGGUUGACGGUAGCCGGGUUAUGAAGCGCCGGCUAACUACGUG